CCCGCCGCUCCCCGGAGCGUUCGGAAGCCGCUGGGGCCGGCGCUGAGCCUCGAUGUGUGCGGGCUGCAGCCUCGCGGAGACCCCGCGUGGACACGGGCCUGACAGAGCAGAGGAGCGGUGGCACCGUCCCGGCGUGCCGGGCCACAGCGGCUGCCGGGCCGGAGCAGCGCAGCCCAGGGAGCUCUGCUGCCACGGCAGAAAACAACUGAAAUCACCGCAGGUGCCCUUUCUUGGGGACAUCCUUGCUCUUGUGUUUUAUAGUCUGCAGGAGCCGUAAUAACUUCACACAGAAUCGUAGAAUAUUUUGAGUUGGAAGGGAUCCAGAGGGAUCAUUAAGUCCAGCUCUUGAGUGGCCCAUACAGGGAUCAGAUUGCCACCUUGGUGUUAUCAGCACCCCGCUCUAACCAACUCGCAAGUAUAUAUAUUCUUCAAUGAAAAAUCGUUUUUAUAUGGUAUUGUAGGAUUUCUAUUUUUUUGCCUCUUUUGCUUAUAAAGACUUAUAAAGGUCUUUUCAGGAAAUGCAGGUGCAACUAUAGAAAGAAACUAAUGAAGGACCACUCAGAAAGUUUUUUGUUAAUGCGGUAUUUUGAUAUACCCCCAAACCUUAAAAAUUAAAAUAAAUCCAGGCAGUCUCCCUAAUGCUCCUCAGAAACAGAGUGAGGCAAAAAAAAGGGGCUUUUGAGUUGAUGUGUCAGCUUUAAAACUAACAUUUCUAAUAGCAAGGUUGUUGAAAUUUCAUUUUCAUUUUUCUUCAUAUGCAUAUUCUAAUUAACUUUUGCUCACAAUUAUAUCACUAUUCCAUCAUCAGAUUAAAAACUAACCCAUUUUUCUGCUUUUUUUUUUAAAAAGAAGCAACAAGAGUAAAUUGUUAAGUAACUUGAACAGACUCAACUCAAAUUCUGAAUUCCAACUAGUUAGCAAUUUUACUUAAAAGUUUCUUUUGGUAAUGGGGGGAGCCCACAACUUUUGUUGAAAGUUUCACUGGGAAAGACUUCUGAGUUUCCAGAUGGAAUUUCUAGUAAGAACAAGUGAGAUAAUGACUCUGAAAUAGUCUCGUUUGAGAUGUGGGAGUUUCAGAUUUGUGUUCCAUGCUCCUGCUUUGCCUGUUCCAGGCCUUCCCACGUCUUGCAGAAAUAGACUAAGGAUUGGAAUAGAAAACUGGUAUCUGGUUUUCUAGACAAAUUAAAGUUUAACUAUUUGUCAACCCAAAUGUUCCAAAAAAAGAGAAUGAUAGAAAACCUUUCUUGUUCCUUUUCUUCUGCUAAAUCUCCUGUUUCACAGUAACUAUUUCCAAAGUGCCUAUGUAUGCAAUACUGUUAACACCACAUAAGCCUGUUUCAUUUUAAUUUUAUUGUGUAGCAGCUGUGUUCAGAAACCUUUAAUGCAGCACUGUCACAUGGGUAUUUUGGAUUUUAUUGUUGGAACUGAUUUGAGCAGUUACCUAUAUUGUAACCAUGAUCCCCCCUAGAAAUGUGAGUGAAAAUGGAGUUAACUUGAA